CGAGGCCCCCCAGCCCCGAGGAGCCCCCGGAGUUGAUGGGAACCCCCCCGGCGCUCAGGGCAUCGCCCACGGCGGCCGAGGCCGAGGAGCCCACGGCCGUGUUCUGGGGGAAGGAGCUCAGGAUGGGCCCGGGCAGGGUCACCACCACGGGCGAGGGCUGGAUGACGUACGUGGAGUCCUGGCACUGCCGCACGCAGGGCUCGUUGCAGCUGUUGGCCAGCGGGGUGGGGCCGCAGGAGCUGGGGGGACACAGGUCGUAGCAGGACAUGGCUGGGGUGUCACCGAGGCUGCAGCACAGCAAGGGAGGGAGACAAGGAGGAAUCUGUGGGUAGAGCCGUGUAAUUAAGCUGCUGACGCGAGGGAGAGUGAAAGAGGCUGUGGAGAAUGGAAUGAUGGAUUCACCACAUCCACUUCCAACUGUUGAGCAAUAGCAGGCAGAGAUUGGAACGUUUUGGAACUGAAUUAUUUGGUGACACAAAUGAAAAAUGAGGCUGAAGUCCUGCAUCCAACCACCUCCACCUUCACAGAACAACCUUCUCCCGGAAAAAAAAGCUGCUUGGUGGUCCCCCCCACACAGAGCACAAACCUCAGACUGCCACAAAGAGGGUGUAAAAAUAAAAUACAAUGAAGGCAACAAUUCAAGACCUUACAAAAUAAGAAACAAAUCAAGACUUACCCUUUCCACUGAGGAGAAUAAAGCAGAAUUGGAUGAAGCUCCUCUGACUGUGCUGCCUUUUAUACUCUGGCCCAGAGAGCCUGAGGAGCUAAGGCAUAAUUUGUGCCAUUUACCAGCCAAUUACCAAAGACUUCUCAGAUGCAAAAUCCUCCUGGCUGGUGAUUUACUUUUUCCUCACUGUUUGGAUUUCCUGCCUUGGUUUAAUUUCCUCCCUGUAAUGUUUGCAUUCCACUCGAGAGGUUUCUUUUAUCUUCAGAUCUUGGGAGCCCAGUUCAUUCCUGCUCAGAUGAACUGAUUCAUCUGAGCUACUGAAGAAAUUAUUUUGCAUCCCAAGGACCGAUGACACAGAUGAAUAAAUCUACUAGGAAAGAUGGAUGGGAACUUCCCUGUGAAAUCCCCCUUCCCUCUUCAUGGGGAGCAGAAGUUUUUGACACAUUUCACUCUGAAAAGGCCAGAAAUUCCUGUUUCUGCCUCAGAAUUGGACUGUGGGUUUGCCAAAUUCCCCUCAAACAGCCAGAGAGCCACACAGAUAGAGGAAAUAAAAUUGUUACACAAAGCA